GCUAGAUGAAGAAAUAAUGAAAGAGAGACAUACAGAGAGAAAUACAGAGAGGUGUGUAACCCUGGGGUGGUAGAAUCAGAAAGAUGAGCAUGAGCCUCUGAGGUCUCUUCUAUGUGUUUCUGUUAGUGUACAUGUUUACCAAUAUUCAUAUGUGCAUUCAUGUUUGUGUUAUUAUGUGCAUGUGUGGGUAUGUGUGGGUAUGUGUGUGUGUGUGUGUGUGUGUGUGUGUGUGUGUGUAUGUAUGUGGGAUGGGGCAUCCCUUGGGAAAUAGAACUGUGGGAAUAUGCGUACCAAACAGGACUACUGGUCCCAAGGGAGCACCUCUCUUUCCGGGAGCCACACACACACACACACACACACACACACACACACACACACACACACACACACACACACACAAACACACAUACAAACAGAGGCACAAGGCGAAGGUUUCAAGUACCGGUAUUCCCUUACAUGGCUAAUUCGAUAUCAUUUUCUGCUUGUACAGUGCAAGACACACACACACACACACACACACACACACACACACACAAAAGGUCAGCAGUGGCUCAACAACUAGUAGCCCCUUUACUCCAGGAACAACAUACACUCUUCCCCCUACAGAGAUGAGAAAUGGACACGGUGUCACUCAAAGCCUAGCGCUGCUCGACAAACAGAUCACUGAAAAGCCUUUUGUAUUAGUGUGUGUGUUCCUGUGUGUUUAGGUGUUCAAGUUCUUAUCACACUCUGCAUGUAUGAUCAUUGUACUGUAUUUAUCUUUUUUUUUCUUUUUGGAAAAGAGAAUUAUUUAUUAAAGAAUAAAUACUUGCCAGGCAAUUAAUUGCCAGGAUUGAUAAUAACUCUUUGAUCAUUUUUUAUUUAUUGGACUACUUUAUUGAUCAUUUGUGCCCACCUAACCUCUGUCCACCACGUCUGUAGCUAGUGUUCAGUAACCACAGACAAUUAUUUUGAAACAUUUUCCAGUACUGAGAAAAGUCCCCCUAAGUCACUUAUAAUGGAACUCUAAGGGCAGCUGAUCAACUACGUCCCUCAAUAAACUAUAUAUAACUCAAAUUCAAAACAAGGGUUACAAUCUUAAAAUAAACUAGGAUAAGACAGACAUGAAAGAAUGUCUUACCAAAGCUGUUUUUACAGAAGGGUGCCAAAAUAAAUGGAAAACUGGUGGCGCUGUUAUUCAUGUUGGGAGAAUUUUGCUGGCAUGGUUUGUGUCCACUUGUCCCCAAAUUAAUUCACUGUUCACCUUUAUCAUAUGAUGAUACAUUCCUAUACUAAUGAAAGUCCUCUCUUUAUCCACACCUUCAUCCACAAUACAUGAGGGCUUAAUGAAUGGUUUCAUGCAGAUGAAUAUUAAGUAAAUGAUAUUCUAUGGCCUUUAAGGUCACCAGAUUUCAACCCAAUUGUAAACACAUAGGAGAGUUUGGAGUGACGUGUUAGAUAGGGCUCGCCACUAUCAUCAUCAUGAAGUGGAAAAAAUAUCUUUUGGAAGAAUGGUGUUAUUUGCUCGAGUGCAGUUCCAGAGACUUGUAGUCCCGUUGAAGCUGGUGGAUUGUUGUAGCCCAACACCUUACUAAAACACUUUAUGUUGAUUUUUCCUUCAGUAUGUCUGUACAUAGUUUUAUCCAACUUUCCAAAACUGGACCAACAUAGUAACCACAGGUUUUGUGGUAUUCCUCAAUCAGGUGGGAACUGGGGAACAUUCAUAGACGUAUCUACAUUCUAGUUCUCUGUAAAAGAAGCCCCAUAUCUGAAAAGAAGAAUUAUUACAAAGAAAUAUGUUACAAUUAUUGUCCCUGUUAAUUGCACAUAUAGAUGCAAGGUGAAAAAAUGCUAGCAUGCUAGCAUGUAUAUCAAAGCUGAAAUGCCUUAGAUUAUCUCUAUUAAAUGCAUUUUAGAAGUUAUUAUUGCCAUACAUAGUUUUCAUUUUAUAAUUAUGUCUGUUUCUGCACAUUACUCAGCACACUGGCAUGAGUGCAGAACAGUACAUUCACUAUGCUGAUAAACUGUUCCUGUUUUACACCUGCUGAUUUAUAGAUUAGAUUAAAUCUGGGAAUGGCAUAGAGGAUUACACCACUGCUGCUUUCCAUGGAGCAGAAAAAACACCUUGUCUGCUGCAGCAUGAGGCAGAGCCUGAAGGUCAGGGGGUCUUGUUUACCUGGGGCAGGCAUUUCCUCUGUGGGCUGAUAAGAGCAGGACAGGGGAAGUGCUCUGUCACAGGUGAAGAGAGAAAGAGAGAGAGAGAGAGAGAGAGAGAGAGAGAAGGAAAAGGAGGCAUUAGGAAGCCACCUAUGAUAACUGCUCUUAUAAACAUCGAAACAAACUAAACCAUCCUCAGAUAAGGCCAGGUAUGUGAUGUCUGGAUGCAGACAGACAGACAGCUCGAGCAUAGUUUAGAUGGCAUAUAUAUAUAUAU
ensembl:lncRNA